AGAGGAGUAACACGCGGGCAGCGUGGACCGAGGUUCACAGGAGUAACAUACGGGCAGUGUGGAUGGAGGUUCACAGGAGUAACACGCGGACAGCAUGGACCGAGGUUCACAGGAGUAACACGCGGGCAGUGUAGACCAAGGUUCACAGGAGUAACAUGCAGGCAGCGUGGACUGAGGUUCACAGGAGUAACAUGCAGGCAGCGUGGACCGAGGUUCACAGGAGUAACACGGGGACAGCGUGGACCGAGGUCCACAGGAGUAACACGCAGGCAGCGUGGACCGAGGUUCACAGGAGUAACACGGGGGCAGCGUGGACUGAGGUUCACAGGAGUAACAUGCAGGCAGCGUGGACCAAGGUUCACAGGAGUAACACGCGGGCAGCAUGGACCGA